ensembl:lncRNA
UAACAUUCUUCUGAGCUCUGGGAGCAGAGCACCCCUUCCACAGCCACGCUGUACAGUGAACAGGACAGGACAGGGAAGGGAGAAGUCAGCCAGGAACCAGAUGUCCUACAAGGAGCCUUCCAAGCUGAGACACAUCUCCGCUGGACCUCAAUUUGAGCCCCUAGUUUUCCAGCGUGGCCGAUUGUAUUUCACCUCGAAGCGCUCCGGCCCGGGAAGCAGCCGCAGCCCUGGCCGCUGCCCAGCUGGCCUCUGCCCUAGUUCCUCUCCCGCUGUAGGCAGGCUGUGGGAUCUCUCCUUUUCAGGGCUAAACCGUGCCGCCCACUUUUGAUCAUUAAAGGAAAUGAAGUUGAAAUCACACUGAAGAAGUAAACAAGACCCGCGUACGAAGGUGCUGAGAUGGCAAAGCAAGCAGUCUCAAAGGCGAGCACACACAGCACGGGCUGCCACUGGUCCCCCUGGUUCAGCAGUGUUCCACAAGCUCUUGGCAGAGCUAUAAAUGAUGGCACGAGGCGGUGAAGAAUAAAAUCCCGAGUAUUCGGCUUUCAAGGAAAUUUACAAAAGCCACGGUCUCAACAGCCAAGAUUUACAUGCGUCUUCCAAGAAAGAAUUACUUUUCUAUGGGAAAGUAAUCAUCCCCUGCACUGCUGAGCUAAUGAUGUAUAAAAUAAUUCUGACAAGCCAGAGUCCCACGGUGGCACCAGCCAACAGCAAAGAGAAAAGGGAUUCCAAACAAGCUGUUGGUGACCAGAAAACAACUUGAAGCAGAUCGCUAGCAAUAAAUCUUAAUAUGACACUGGAGCUGAGCUCAUCUUACAAAGAGCAAAGAGUAGACGGAGGAAAGCAGAUGGCAGAGCCUUUCCCAGUGGUAUAAACAGAGAUGAGUGCGUAUCGUUUCUCAGUACUGUAGAAGUCCCUGCCUACCUCAGUUGUGUAAAUAACCAGAAGGAACAUUAAUACAUUUCUAGGGACUGAGUUUUAAUUGUUCAGUGUUUUAUAACCAUUGCUUACAUCUCGUUCUAUUUACCAUGGCAAUAGUUCCAAAUACUCCACGUUAUGGAAAUGAUGACGUCCAGCUGGAAAUGUUUUACCUGCCAAGACCUGAACGUCACGCUAACGGUUAUCUGGCAGUAGCUGGUGGCAGAACAAACCUACUGCAGCUUAACUGGAGGUUACAUCCUUUACAUGGUUACAUUUAAUCACUUCUGAUGCCUAUCUAAGUUGUAGCUGAGUACAAGGAAAUACAGAUUAUACGCUCGAAUUUUUGCAAGUACGAAAAGCAAGAGCGACAGCAAUAAGAAUAAAGCACAAUUAUCACAACUGCCUGUCCAAGGGAUCCAGGAUUUGUUGUAUUUUACGAGUGGAUCAUCCUUUGUUCAAGUCUUUUCCACAGAAGUUGCUGUGUGUAAAAUCCAUGCAAACCAUGAAAUCUGCCUCAGUAUAGAAGCACUGGAAGAACUGUGAACCUGAUCACGCUGAGCAGACCAUCACAUGCAUAAAAUUAAGAAGCUAAAAACUAGAACGUUUAUUAUCUCUGGGAUACAUGUGAAUUACAACUCUUUAGGUGCUAUCUGUAGCAAUAGGAUCCAAAAAAAAAAAAAAAAUCAGAUAAUAAAAUAACUUAGAAAAAAAUACAUGUCCGUACCAUUACACGUGACUACAACUUUCAUUUUUCUAUGCUAUUUAUGGGUACAUUUGUGUGGAAACCUUUUAAAAAUGUUCUUUACAACUUCUUGAGAUUUACUUACACCAUCUCAUAGUUCUGCAGAACAAAGCUGACGUCUCCAGAUGGCAAAUAUAAACACCCAAAGAUGGACUGCCAUUCAAAGACACGUGGGGAAUAUUUGCCAAAGCUAAAUACAGCACUAGAAGAAUUUCAAUAGUGGAGUAGAAGUUCUUCGGAGCACACCAUUAAUACUGGCGCAAUAGAUCUAACUGACGCGGUGGAGGCGGUGAGCUGCACUCAAAAUCUUUGCUACCCACAAAAAGGCACUUAUUUCUGGAUUGUUAUAUACUCAGGAAAUCAUACAGUAAAUCAAAGCGACGUAUUACUCAGACCCUGCUAUAAAGUGCAGCACAUACAGAAUAUUUUCUGGGAAGAAAACUCGAUCUACAAUUGCAGCUGAUGAACAGAACAUUUUUUGAAGUUAAAAAGCCUGGAGGAACUCCAGGUGUGGAUGGGGUCUGGAACGUGAUCCAUGGAGAUGCCUCCAGCGUGCUUCAAGACUGCCUGGCCUUGGCAGCUACGUGGGUGAACAAGUUCUGCCCUCUGGUCUUCAGCUACUCACUACAGCUCACCAACUUUAAGUUGUGAGAGAAGACACAUACAAUGGUCCACUGCCCAAUCCAAGAAAAGCUGUGCUCAGUUUAAUAUUCUACCUACUUUGAUAGCAGAGGCAUCAACAAUCGCAGCGUGGAGAGUUCAGCAGCUGAAUGAUAGCAGCAGUAAUAAUGAGAGCACAUGUGGGAAUCCCAGGAAAACCUCCAUCAUCAUCAUCAACAUUUUAUUUUCUGCACUGCUAUCCCUGCUCCAGUGUUCCACAAAUUGCUGUGCCAGGCAAUGCAAUGCCUGAUGUCAGUAAGAAUCUGCAUGAACACAAGGAGAAGGAUAGCUGUGAUGAAAAAGUCAUCAAAAGCUGGAAAUGCCAUGGGACCUUUAGAUGGUUUAAAACUAUUUUUGUUGUGUUGUGUUGUACAGUUUCAGUUCAGGUAUGAUUUUGAGGUAAAAGGGAUGCAGUUGCAAGCACACAGACAGAUUAUGCCUACACUCCCUUGUACCUAACUCAUUUAUACAUUUGCAUCCUUGCAAACCAUGCUGCAACUCCUGGUUUUAUCUAUCACUAGUUUGCCCAGCCUACUAUCUUAGUCAACCCAGUGUUAAAUGGAAGUACCAAAACCCACCAAGUUGUAACAACAAAGAAUUUUGGCACAUGCUGUGGAGAGUUUUCUCUUGAAGCUUGGCAUUCAGAAAGAGAAACAAACUAAAAAUAGGAACCAUUUACAGUGGAUCACCAUGUAGAUAAACGUGUUAAAAGCCCAACAGAGGGAACUUCUGACAUGCAUGAGCUCCGAACACCAGAGAUAUAUAGCUUGAGUAAUGUCUUCAUCGCUGAAGAUGAUGAUCUAAUGUAUAUUUCUAAGGAAAACUACAAUGAAAGUAAAUAAUAUUAAGUGUUUUAUUAAGCGGUCCAUUAACUGGAAAAGGAUGUUUCUUCCUCGGGCAAAUUGUCUUAGGAAUGUUGGCCUUCAGGGUCCUGCCUUCAUUUUUAAAGCAGAAUUGUGCCAGCAGACCUACUUUAUAAAGUUUUACAUCAAUUUUGCAAUCAGGCUUUCUGUUUACAAGCUCUCCAGGCUUAACUUCAAUGCAAAGUUAACCUGAGUUAGAAUUUAUUCUGGUUACAAUCAGAAUCCUUUCUGCAUUAGAAAAAAAAAAUAAGCCUAAGUCUGCAGUUGCUUUUCAUUUGAGGCAGCAAGGCUAACAGGAAGAUACAGGGUGGUAUGACAGUGAGCCUAGCUCGUCAGCUACUCUGUAUUGUGAGCACAGGUUUGCAUCAUCUGAAUGCUGCUGAUCUUCCUAUGCCUUCCCACUCAUCUUGUUCCUGGCAGGAUCCUGCUAAUGCCUGGGCCAGAAGUAAUGGCUCCGUCACUAACAGGGCUGACCAGAGCCCUAAGUGGUCUCAGAAAUCAUAGCCUAUGGUUUCACAGUGUAAAGUUGGUACAGGUAAAAGCAGCUUUACUUAGCCCUGUCCCAUCAUCCUUCCUCAGCUCUGCCCCCCUCAGCCAUAGCACUGCUCAUUUCUGCUGACCCAUCAUUUUCUAAAAAGUCCUAAAAUGAAGUGUUUCUAAGAAAGCUCACUGGCUCACCACCUGGAUCAGCACCGUUCUGCGAGCACAACAGUGAGGGCUUCAGUGUGAGCACUGAAGCAGGUCUGAAACCCUACAGCAGUAUUGGUACCAAGAAUUUUGCAUUCAGAAGCUCGGCACCAGGCAAGAGUGAAGGUACAAAGACAUACCCCUUGGGGCAGAGGCUCCAAGUGUCCCUCUGUACCUUAAAAAGUAUCUUGAAAGCACUCCCACAAGAGCAACAGAUUACUUGUAAAUGCCAACACAUGUCAUUAGUGUUUGACAGGUAAGUGAUAACCUCCAUCUCCUCAGGUUUCCAAGAAGACAGUAGAUGUUGCAUGGACUGAUGUGGUUUAGUAGUAUGGUGGUGAUGGGCUGAUGAUUGGACCAGAUGGUCUUAGUGGUCUUUUCCAACCUUAAUAAUUCUAUGAUUCUAUGACUCUAUGAGAGAAACUUGAGGACAAUUGGCUGUAAUUUUCCCAACUGAAAGCACUUGAAGCCCCAUGACUCGAACCUCUGAAAUAUAGUCCCGUCUCUCAGCAAAAAGAACAGAACCAGGGAAUCACAGUGUCCAGUAGCCACUGUUCUCGCAUUGUACAAUUUGCUGAUGGAAAGAGGAAACAGAAAUGCAAAGAAGCUGCUGCUGUUUUCUGUAAAAUACUGAAAAAGUUUCUCAUAACUGGAAGCAAUUUUACUUUGCUGCUCUUAAUGCUCAUGAUGCUAGCAAGAGGGAAGAGCAGGCAGUUAUUCCAACAUGCCCAACCUGCACUUCUGUAGCUCCACAACAGCUACGAGUCUACAUUUGCCGUAGAGGAAAGUGAAAACCACAGCCAACUUUCUUCAGUGGUGCCCUUGGCUGUGAACUAUGGUGGUUCAGCGGGACCCUGAAGAGAGGAAACGUGAACGAGGCAGGAACGUUUCCAUGCACCUUACCUUGAGCCAGGGCUUUUUUUCCCUAAGGUCUUGAGCAUUGCACAUCAGAAGAAGCUAAGUGACAUGACCUGUGAUACUUACUCUAAAUUACGCAUGUUUAACAGCACCCAAGGACCUCAUGAAAUCUAUUACACUGGACACUGAACACUGAAAGGUUUGCAACCCAAAGGGCUGUUUUUCAUUAUCCACUGAAGGUGAAUUUAGCUCUAAACAAAAUAUACAGGAAAACACAGUGGCUAAUGCAAUGGAAAUUAUUACUGGGUAAUAAUUUACGGAUCUUGUUUGUUGACUUUGCUAUUGGGAAAUUCACUGUCUAAAUAUAUUGGCUUGAUUUAAUAAGGGAAAAUCAGGCUGACCUAAUAGGUGACUGUAAGAAAAAACAUGCAGCCAGGGUUUUAAAAAAAGAAGGGCUUGAAAUAAGUCAGUGCUUCACAAAUGCUUGUGAAUUUUUUAAGUAUUAAUAGGAAAAAAUGGAAUAGAAGGAACACAACCAGAUCAAAAGGACUGUGUUAGCUUAAAAGGGGAUCUGGCUGUCACAGGCAUCGUUUCUGAGAGGCAAAAAGAGAAGCUGUGUCAAGAAGCUAGACCCACCUGUCUUGUUCUGAGGGGCUUAGAAAAAUGGAUAUGAACUGUAGCACUGGUCAGGACUAAAACAAGGGGGAGAAGUGAGGAAUUCAUGAUGACAUUAAUAACACCAUGAGGACUGGUGCUGGGCGAGCUGUAGUCAGUGAGCAGAGAGGAGGAAAGGUGACAUGCCUGUAAGCAGAGCCAUGGCACCAGGAUGUUUCCCACUGAGGACUGGCUGUGCUUCUUGAGCAUGUUGAGCCCUGGAUUACACAAACAACAAGUUAAAAACACAAAGCAGGGUUAUCAGAUCUCAGGUGCUGUCCUGUUUCCUUUUCUCCUUUUAAACGACAUUCAUCUUUUUCUAACAGCUCAAUGUCCAAAGCAUGCAUGAAGGAAAGAUUUCGGCAAAGCACGCUGGCAGUCUUACCCAGGUUCCAUUGGUUCAGCAGAGCUGGCCCCAGUCCUCGUGGGACAAAUGCUCCCUUAAUUUUAGACAAGUCUACUUCAAACACAAUUAGACGAGAGGCUUUUUUUUGGGCCUGCAUGCCGAGUGAGAUACAUUACUUGUAAUCAUUAUAUACUAGUUUAUUGAUUGUGGCUUUUCAGUAUUCGCUGUAGAUGGGCUUGUUUUAACAGAACUGUCAAGAGAUGUGUCUGGUUAACAAACAAUUAAGGACUGGAGGCACAACAGUUAGCACAGGUAUUUUGUCAAGAGGCAUAGAAAUGCACUGAGAAUUUUGACAACGCAUGCAUGAGGUUUUCUCUUGAACCUUUGGUAUUUUUCAAGAGAUGUCACAGAAGUCUGUUUUUGUGGAAUUUCAGGGCUGGCUCAAUAGUUUGUUUUCAUCUCUCCUUCAUGCAUUUUAAUAUUGAAAAGAUCAGACAAAUGGAAAUUAUUUACAGGAAAUAUGUAUGUGGAAAAUCCAUAACAUCC